CCCCCCCAGGUUCUCCUCCCCAUAAGAUAUAAACACUGGUCUGAGUAGUUACAAAAGAAGGAAAAAUAACAUUAAAAGUGACUUAAAUGCUUUUGGAGCACUUGGAAAGUUUUCGAACAAUU
rnacentral:snoRNA from 1 species